AAUCUUGCGCAAUGGUCGCAAGUCAGACGGAGCAACGCCGCGAGAGUGAUGAAUGUUUUCGGAUCGUAAAACUCUGUUGUUAGGGAAGAACAAGUAUCGGAGUCACUGCCUGUACCUUGACGAUACCUGACGAGAAAGCAACGGCGAACUACGUGCCAUGAGCCGCGGUAAUACGUAGGUGGCAAGCGUUGUCCGGACUUAUUGGGCGUAAAGCGCGCGCAGGCGGUUUCUUAAGUCUGAAGCAAAAGCCCACGGCUAAACCGUGGAGGGUCAUUGGAAACUGGGAAGAUUGAGUGAAGAAGAGAAAAGUGGAAUUCCAUGUGUAGCGGUGAAAUGCGUAGAGAUAUGGAGGAACACCAGUGGCGAAGGCGACUCUCUGGUCUGCAACUGACGCUGAGGCGCGAAAGCGUGGGGAGCGAACA
rnacentral:rRNA from 1 species